rnacentral:rRNA from 1 species
GACGAACGCUGGCGGCGUGCCUAAUACAUGCAAGUCGAACGCUUUUUCUUUCACCGGAGCUUGCUCCACCGAAAGAAAAAGAGUGGCGAACGGGUGAGUAACACGUGGGUAACCUGCCCAUCAGAAGGGGAUAACACUUGGAAACAGGUGCUAAUACCGUAUAACACUAUUUUCCGCAUGGGAGAAAGUUGAAAGGCGCUUUUGCGUCACUGAUGGAUGGACCGGGGGUGCAUUAACUAGUUGGUGAGGUAACGGCUCACCAAGGAAACGAUGCAUAGCCGACCUGAGAGGGUGAUCGGCCACACUGGGACUGAGACACGGCCCAGACUCCUACGGGAGGCAGCAGUAGGGAAUCUUCGGCAAUGGACGAAAGUCUGACCGAGCAACGCCGCGUGAGUGAAGAAGGUUUUCGGAUCGUAAAACUCUGUUGUUAGAGAAGAACAAGGAUGAGAGUAAAAUGUUCAUCCCUUGACGGUAUCUAACCAGAAAGCCACGGCUAACUACGUGCCAGCCGCCGCCGUAA